rnacentral:Y_RNA from 1 species
GGCUGGUCCCAUGGUAGUGGGUUAUCAGAACUUAUUAACGUUAGUGUCACUAAAGUUGGUGUACAACCCCCCAACUGCUAAAUUUGACCAGCUUUAA